CGGUCUUUUCUCAUUGCACUAAAAGUUGAAUCGAGAAAACAAGUAUCACUCUCGUGAUUAUUUCUCCCCUGUUUUCAGCAGGCUACAGUUCCCUUGACAUGCCAUUGUAACGGUUGUUUGUGGUGGAAGAAGAGGAGGACCAAUGCGCAGCGUGGUAAGUGUCCAUAUUGAUAAUUUAUUUUCAUGAACACAAAAACAAAAUAACCAGAACGAACGAAACGAAACAGUUCUGUCUGGUGCAGAUACAAACACUCAACAGAAAACAAUCACCCACACCACACAGGUGGGAAAAGGCUGCCUAAGUAUGAUUCUCAAUCAGAGACAAC
ensembl:lncRNA